rnacentral:ncRNA from 1 species
GGAUUUCUUCGGAAAUGGGAAGCUACUCUACUGGCGGUACAGCCCGCGAGCGCAAGCUAAUCCGGUGCAGUUCCGGAGCCAACAGUCAAGUCUGGAUGGGAGAAGAAAAUG